rnacentral:rRNA from 1 species
GAUGAACGCUAGCGAUAGGCUUAACACAUGCAAGUCGAGGGGCAUCGAGGGUAGCAAUACCUGUCGGCGACCGGCGCACGGGUGAGUAACGCGUAUGUAACCUGCCCGCAACAGAGGGAUAACCCGGCGAAAGUCGGACUAAUACCUCAUAAAACAGGGGUUCCGCAUGGGGCUAUUUGUUAAAGAUUUAUUGGUUGCGGAUGGGCAUGCGUACCAUUAGGUAGUUGGUGAGGUAACGGCUCACCAAGCCAUCGAUGGUUAGGGGUUCUGAGAGGAAGGUCCCCCACACUGGUACUGAGACACGGACCAGACUCCUACGGGAGGCAGCAGUGAGGAAUAUUGGUCAAUGGGCGAGAGCCUGAACCAGCCAAGUCGCGUGAAGGAUGACUGCCCUAUGGGUUGUAAACUUCUUUUACAGGGGAAUAAAAUGAGAUACGUGUAUUUUAUUGCAUGUACCUUGUGAAUAAGCAUC